GCUGGGCAUGGCAGCAGGCACCUGUAAUCCCAGCUACUCGGGAGGCUGAGGCAGGAGAAUCGCUUGAACCCAGGAGGCGGAGGUUGCAGUGAGCCGAGAUCAUGCCACUGCACUCCAGCCUGGGCGACUGAGCCAGACUCUGUCUCAAAAAAAGAAAAAAAAGUACUGAUGCUGGCUCCCAUCCCCCGACAUUCAGAUUUAAUUAGAACUGGGUACAACCUGGGCAUCAGAACUUCUUUUUUUUGAGACGGAGUUUCACUCUUGUUGCCCAGGCUGGAGUGCGAUGGCGCGAUCUCAGCUCACUGCAACCUCCACCUCCUGGGUUCAAGCGAUUCUCCUGCCUCAG
ensembl:misc_RNA Metazoa_SRP Metazoan signal recognition particle RNA